AAACAUCUGAUUUUUACUUUUGCAAAAUUUACCUGUGAAUUUCUUGUGUAAAAAGCAGCAGUAUUUCAGUGGCACAUCAACUGUGGACUAUCUACUGUGACAACAACAUAACCGGGCCAAUCAGGGUUGGCUAAAGGACACAAGAAUGUCAUUAAUGACCGUUUGUUCACCUGACAAGCGGCCACAAAUCAGCUCUUGGGCCACCAACGGAUACAGUAGUAAGUUUUUGUAACCAGCCAACAGAAAAGCUCUACUGUUGAUGAAAAGACAUGAUGUUAAAAGAGAUGGUCUGGCAUGGCUGGUGAGUGUCCUUUACCUCACAGAUUCCAGUGAUAGAGCUAAAGUAAAUUUGGGCCUUGUUGUAUAUGCCUUACAGAAGUAUACUGUUUAUUUAACAUCCCCAGCAUGCUGAGUUAUGACUGGUAAUGAUUACUCAAAUGCCCAGUGUUUGGGCUAUUGUACCAGGAGUCCCUCAAAACAGACGCACCGGUGUUUAUUUGAGUUUUCCAUUUUAUAUUGCCACGUGUCAUUAGGCUGUUUA